CCUACGGGAGGCAGCAGUGGGGAAUAUUGCUCAAUGGGGGAAACCCUGAUGCAGCAACGCCGCGUGGGUGAUGAAGGUUUUCGGAUUGUAAACCUCUUUCGUCAGGGAAGAUAAAGACCGUUACCUGCCUAAAAAGCCCCGGCUAACUACGGGCCAGCAGCCGCGGUAAUACGUAGGGGGCAGGCGUACUCCGGAUUUACUGGGGGAAAAGGGCGCGUAGACGGGUGUGCAAGUCUGAGGUGAAAGCCCGUGGCUUAACCGUGGAACUGCUUUGGAAACUGUAUAUCUAGAGUAUGGGAGAGGUAGGUGGAAUUCUUGGUGUAGGGGUGAAAUGCGUAGAGAUCAAGAGGAAUACUAGUUGCGAAGGCGGCCUGCUGGA
rnacentral:rRNA from 1 species